rnacentral:rRNA from 1 species
GACAGAGGAGGCAAGCGUUGUUCGGAAUCACUGGGCUUAAAGCGCGUGUAGGCGGCCGGGUAAGUGUCGUGUGAAAUCCAACGGCUCAACCGUUGAACGGCACGGCAAACUUCCCGGCUUGAGGUUGGUAGAGGUGCCUGGAACUCUUGGUGGAGCGGUGAAAUGCGUAGAUAUCAAGAGGAACGCCAGAGGCGAAAGCGGGGCACUGGGCCAAAUCUGACGCUGAGACGCGAAAGCGUGGGGAG